AUGGACCUGAUAUCAGCAAGAUUACCCGCUGAACUUAAGCAUAUCAAUAAGCGGGAGGA
rnacentral:rRNA from 1 species